GCCUUCCUGCUCCUAUGAUGAUGCUUGGCCUGCUGCGUUCAUCCAGCUCUACACCUUGUUAUCUCAGAUUUUCCAGCAUAUACAGUUCCUACUACCCCAAGCCCCCGCUUGGUUUCCCCGAUGUAGAGGAGGCCACAACAGGAACAGCGGAUGCAGUAUACCACAUUAGCAGAUGUGCAGGUGAACAUCUGCUUGAUGUGGAAAGUCAGGAUGGGGGAGGUGUAGAGGCAGGUAUAGCACUUCCUGCGGUUGCAGGGAAAAGUGCCAGGUGUGGUGGGGCUGGAGGGGAGUGUGGAGCGGACAAGGGAGUCACAGGAGAGAGUGGUCCCUCCGGAAAGCAGAUAAGGGUGGGGAGGGAAAAAUGUCUUUGGUGGUGGGGUCGGAUUGCAGAUGGCAGAAGUGUCGGAGGAUGAUGUGUUGGAUCCGGAGGUUGGUGGGGUGGUACGUGAGGAUGAGGGGAAUUCUUUUUUGGUUGUUAUUGCAAGGAGUGGGUGUGAGGGAUGAGUUGCGGGAGACAUGGUCGAGGGCGUUCUUGACCACUGGCGGGGGGGGAUGCAGUUGCGGUCCUUGAAAAACGAGAACAUCUGAGAUGUAUGGGAGUGGAAUGCCUCAUCCUGGGAGCAGAUGCGGCAAAGGCGAAGGAAUUGGGAAUAGGGGAUGGCAUUUUUGCAGGAAGGUGGGUGGGAGGAGGUGUAUUCUAGGUAGCUGUGGGAGUCGGUGGGCUUAAAAUGGAUAUCUGUUUCUAGGUGGUUGCCAGAGAUGGAGACAGAGGUCCAGGAAGGAGAGAGAGGUAUUAGAGAUGGUCCAGGUGAACUUAAGGUUAGGGUGGAAGGUGUUGGUGAAGUGGAUGAACUGUUCGAGCUCCUCCUGGGAGCACGAGGCCUGCUGUCUUCAUCCAGCUCUACACCUUGUUAUCUCAGAUUCUCCAGCAUCUGCAGUUCCUACUAUCUCUGAUCCGGUUCUUUAAACUGACUCCAAGUUGAAAAUAGCAUCUGAAAUAACUCCACAAAGGACCAAUACGUUAAAGAAGAAGGAUCUGAGACACCCCCAAAGGCCAUUGUAAUGCAUGAGCUGAUCUUCUAUCGCUAAGAAUAAUCUCAACCUGUGAGCCACAAUGAAUGACAUCCGGACCAUACCACAAUAGAAAAAUGGGUUCUCAGUACUUACCUAAAAUCUUCAUUUGUCUUGGAGUAUUAUGCAAAUUAAGGAGGUCUUGCUUUACUGGUUUAUGUUUAAAAAAAGCCAUCACUAUGGGUUUGUUACGUAAAACAAUUUAUUUCCAAAUAUAGUCCCAGAAUGAUAAAAAAUGUAUUAACAUAGUAGCUAUGUUAAUUAGUCUACAAAACUGAAUAAAAUAUAGUACAACAGAACAACAAUCACAUUUAUAAUCAACCCAAUUUGGGUUUGCACAUCUCAAAUAUUACAUUUGCUCAUCACAAUGAUGUAUACUGUGAAAUACUUCAUUAAAAGUUAUGUACGCAAACCUUCUUGAAUUAAACUUGCAGUUUAAAAUACA